rnacentral:lncRNA from 1 species
AUUUAUUAUUUAUUUCUUAAAUAUUGAUUCCCUUUGUAUACAGUCUCAGAGUCUUCAACUCCAUUUUACAUGGAACAUGAAUUAAAUCUUCAGACAUAGUAAUUUUGAUUUUUUCCCUCGGAAGAGUUCACAACAAGCCCCAUGGAAACCCUGAGGGGGGCCCAAGACUAACCAGUUUGGAACCCUACUCCACCAAUCCUAUCCCAGUCAUGUCUUCCUGUGACACAGUCAGCCUAGAAAUGAAUGGAUUACCUAUAAAACAGGAUGACAUGGGGAAGGGACUUUUCUUCUCCCCACCAUUUACAGAGUUAACGCUGUAGUCUAUAAGGCAUGGGGCCACCUGGACCAAGUAUCAUAUAUUACAACAUGGCAAUACCUGGUUGUGAAGGCCCCUGUUUGGACAAGAACUUUUUU